rnacentral:rRNA from 1 species
GUGAGGAAUAUUGGUCAAUGGGCGAGAGCCUGAACCAGCCAAGUCGCGUGAAGGAAGAAGGAUCUAUGGUUCGUAAACUUCUUUUGCAGGGGAAUAAAGUGCAGGACGUGUUCUGUUUUGUAUGUACCCUGAGAAUAAGGAUCGGCUAACUCCGUGCCAGCAGCCGCGGUAAUACGGAGGAUCCGAGCGUUAUCCGGAUUUAUUGGGUUUAAAGGGUGCGUAGGUGGUAUGAUAAGUCAGCGGUGAAAGAUUGCAGCUUAACUGUAAAAAUGCCGUUGAAACUGUCGGAGUUGAGUGUAAAUGAGGUAGGCGGAAUGCGUGGUGUAGCGGUGAAAUGCAUAGAUAUCACGCAGAACUCCGAUUGCGAAGGCAGCUUACUAAGCUACAACUGACACUGAAGCACGAAAGCGUGGGGAUCAAACAGGAUUAGAAACCCCGGUAUCC